UGAGGUUGUUUUGUUUUGUUUUGUUUUGUUUUUUUGAGACAGAGUCUCACUCUGUUGCCCAAACUGGAGUGCAGUGGCAUGAUCUUGGCUCACCUCCACCUCCUGGGUUCAAGCAAUUCUCCUGCCUCAGCCUCCUGAGUAGCUGGGAUUGCAGGCUAAUUUUUGUAUUUUUAGUAGAGGCAGGGUUUCAUCAUGUUGGUCAGGCUGGUCGCCAACUCCUGAUCUCAUGAUCUCAUGAUCCACCCGCCUCGGCCUCCCAAAGUGCUGGGAUUACAGGUGUGAGCUACCACACCUGGCCAAGGGAAUUCGGUCAUUUUUAGUGAGGAAGAAUGAGAGCAGCUUGACAGAACCAAGCUGCACAUUGGAAAGUAGUGGGAGACAUUGGACUGAAUGAGAUGGGAAUCCAGCUACCAAGGACAAGGACAGCCCCUCAAGAAUUUUGACUUGACUUUGAGAUCUCAAGUGAGAAAAACCACACAAAGGUAACUCUGCUGGCAUUUUACACAAUGAUUACGCACAUUUUUCUAAUAACUUGCUGGAAAUAGAAUGAGCAUUGCAGCACCAUCGGACAGGUGCCUUACUCAUUGGAGAUGUCUGGACAGUGCUGUGAUCAUCCUCGCCAGCUGCAGCAAUAGCACCCUGGGUCCUGCAGCCAGAAAGAAGGAUCUGAUCAUCACCUCGUCCUCAUGCUGUGCUGAGGAGCCUUGGUGCACAACUAUUGGCUCGUUUUGGGCAGGACAGGCGUGGACCCAUCCCAUUGUCAUUGUUGUCAGGAUCUGGAUCAGCAAGACAUUGGCCAACUGGGACAAAGAGAAGAAUAAGACUCAAAAACUGAUGGGAAGAACCAAAUACUACUGAAGACCAACUUCACUGCUCAAAGUGGCCUGGUGCCAGUCCUUUUCAGGAAUUAAAUGAAACUGCAGCUUCACUGAACCACCUCACAAUUCCAUUUGCAGACAGGAAUGCCCCAGCAGAUCCCAACAGGAUGCUCACCCCAUGGAGGGACAGAGUGGGUUGAUCCAGCCCACUAAUAAUGCUAACAUUUCUACAGCGCUUUCUUAGGUGCCAGGCUCUGUUCUAAGUGCUCUACUUACAUUAACUCCUUUAGCCCUCAUGACUAACUUUACAGGUGUGUAGUACUAUUUUAGAAAUAGUCCAUUUUACAGUUGAAACGCUGGAACACAGAGAUGUGAAGUAGCUUCAUCCAGGCUACACUCCUAGUAUGUGGUAGGGAAGGGAAUGCCACAGGGAGCCUGGGCUUUGAUACCAGGCUUUUCCCCAUCUGCCAUGCUGCUCUUGGGUCCCAGCUAAGGGUAGAACAAAGAUAGAGGGCCUCGGGCCAGGCGCAGUGGCUCAUGCCUAUAAUCCCAGCACUUUGGGAGGCUGAGGUGGGCAGACCACGAGGUCAGGAGUUCCAGACCAGCCUGGCCAAUAUAGUGAAACCCCGUCUCUACUAAAAAUACAAAAAAAUUAGCCAGGCAUGGUGGCGGGCACCUGUAGUCCCAGUUACUCAGGAGGCUGAGGCAGGAGAAUCGCUUGAACCCUAGAGGCGGAGGUUGCAGUGGGCCGAGAUCGUGCCACUGACUCCAGCCUGGGUGACAGAGUGAGAUUCCAUCUCAAAAAAAAGAAAAAAAAAAAAGAUAGAGGGCCUCAAGUACACAAAAUCACUGCACAUCCAACCACACCUGAAGCCAACUAUAGCCAAGAAUCACCAGGUAAAUGUAUUUUUCCAACACCUACACAUAAGCUACAUUCUCAAAGAGUAUUUUAUAAUGAUUCCUUCAAACAGGUAAUAUUAGUAGUUGGUAGUCAGUGCAAGUUUGGAACUAAGCUUUCAGAAAUGGGAAUUUUUAAACCUUCCAGAGACAACAAGUAUGAUCAUGAGCCCAAAUAAAGAGCAUGACUUCCAUAGUUCAUGAGUAAAUUUUAAUUGUACAAUAUAAGAUAGAGACUGCAGCACAGUGUAGAUGAGGUGGAUUCUCAGACAAUGUUAAGACAUAAAAGACUCCUUUUAGAGAGGUGCACAGCUAUGCCAGUUAGCCUAGGCCCUGUGUAAACUAAUAAUACAAGAAAAUUAACCAUUCAGUAGUGUGGUCAUAAGAAAAUAUAGUUGAGUUGAUCUUAGUCCAGACCUCCUCCUUCACUGGCUUAACAGAGGAAGGCCUUUUGGUAGGAAUUUUGACAAGGUGCUGAUAGUAUCUUAACCCUGUGUUUUGCUUUUUUUUUUUUUUUUUGGAGACAGAGUCUCAUUUUGUCACCCAAGCUGUAGUGCAGUGGCGUGAUCUUAGUUCACUGCAGCCUUGACAACCCAGGCUCAGGUGAUCCUCCCACCUCAGCCUUUCAAGCAGCUGGGACUAUAGGUGUGCAUCACCACACCCAGCUAAUUUUUGUAUUUUUUGUAGAGACGGGGUUUUCUAUGUUGCCCAAGCUGAUCUUGAACUCCCGGUCUCAAGGGAUCCUUCCACAUCAGCCUCCCAAAGUGCUGGGAUUACAGGUGUGAGCUACUGCACCAGGCCCACUGUCCUAACAUUAUGGGAGAGUCUGUGAUUCAAGUAGAUGAAUGCAGGAACAGGAGGUUGACAGGUAGGGGAAAGAAAAAUGGAGAGUAUCAUGCUCAUACCCUGAGAAGGGUAGAGAGGGGAUUGGGGAAAAUUGUUGGGAUCAUUGGAUUCAUUAGAUCCCAAGAAACAGUCUAAAACCUCCUAGUAUAUUUUUUAAAAGAUGGGAUCUCCCUCUGUUGCCCAGGCUGGCCUUGAACUCCUGGGCUCUAGUGAUCCUCUCGCCUCUGCCUCCCAAGUAGCUGGAAUUACAGGCAUACACCACCAUGCAUGCCCUAAAACCUCCUAGUAUCCUGAGGAAGAAACCAGAUGACUAAGUUCUUGGUUUUUUAGAUCCGGGGGGACAUGUGCAUGUUCGUAACACGAGUAUAUUUCGGGAUGCUGAGGUUUGGGGUAUGACUGAUCUCAUCAUCCAGGUAGUGAGCAUAGUUCCCUAUAGGUAGUUUUUCAAUCCUUGCCCUCCCCCUUCCCCUUUUUGGAAUCUCCAGUGUUUAUUGUUCUCAUCUAUGUGUUUGUGUAUACCAAAUGUUUAGCUCCUACUUAUAAGUAAGAACAUGUGGUAUAUGGUUUUCUGUUUCUGCAUUGGUUCACCUAGGAUAAUGGCCUCCAGCUACAUCCAUGUUGCCGCAAAGGACAUGAUUUCAUUCUUGUUUAUGGCUAUGUAGUAUUCCAUACUGUCUAUGUACCACAUUUCCUUUCUCCAGUCCACCAUUGAUGGACACCUGGAUUGAUUCUAUGUCUUUGCUAUUGUGAAUAGCACUAUGAUAAACACACACGUGCAGGUCUCUUUUGGGGUACAUAUAUUUACCUUUGGGUAUAUACCCAGUAAUGGGAUUGCUGGGUUGAAUGGUAAUUCUAGCUUUAGAAAGAAUUCUCCAUACUGCUUCCCACAAAGGCUGAACUAAUUUAUAUUCCCACAAGGAGUGUAUAAGCAUUCCCUUUUCUCUGUAACCUCACCAGCAUCUGGUAUUUUCUGACUUUUUAAUAAUAGCCAUUCUGACUGGUGUGAGAUAGUAUCUCCUGGUAGUCUUGAUUUGAAUCUCUCUGAUGAUUACUGGUGUUAAACAUUUUUCAUAUGUUUUUGGUCACUUGUAGGCAAUCAAGUAUUAAAUGAGAUAAAUGAGGCAUGCAGGAAAUUAUUUAUUUCUUAAUUAAAGGUAAACUUGCUUUUAAAGGUAAAGAAAAUAUAUUGGUAAAGGAAGAAUGGAGGGGAUGAUUAAAACUGAAAAAGUCUUAAAAAUUUAAAGGGCUGUCAGGUGCAGUGGCUCACACCUGUACUCCCAGCACUUUGGGAGGCUUAGGUGGGAGAUCGCUUAAGCCAGGAGUUUGAGACCAGCUUGGGCAACAUAGCGAGACACUGUCUCUGGAAAAAGAUACAAAAAUUAUCCAGCCAUGGUGGCAUGUGCUUAUGAUCCCAGCUACUCAGGAAGGGGGUGAAGUGUGAGGAUGGCUUGAGCCCAGGAGGUAGAGGUUGCAGUGAGCCAAGAUUGCACCACCGCACUCCAGCCUGGCCAUCAAAGCAAGACUCUGUCUCAAAAAAUAUAAAUAAAUAAAAUAAAAUAAAAAAUUUAAGCGCAUUGGCAUGUUGUAUUACCAUCAAAACACAACUAAUUAUUGAAUAAUUUAAGAAUUUAUUUUCUCAUGUGUGGAGUGACCAAGCUCUUCUUUGUAACUACUGCCUACAACAAAGAUUUCCUGCUCACUAUCUGUAUCAGCCACAGGUCAGCAGUGGUUCUGAUCUGUGUGCCUUCUUUCAAAUACAGGUUGAAGAACCCCCACCUCAACCCCCAUGUGGGGGCAUAAUGAUCUUGUGGCAGAGAAAAAAGGGUUAAGGCCAAACCACCCAACAGCUCUUCAAGCUUCUUCUCACAUUUCCUCAGCCACAGUAAGUCAAAUACCCACCCCUGACAUAAGUAGGGCAGAAAAGUAUAACCCUCAGUUAGGGAUGCACUGCAAGCCACAUGGCUGGAGACAGGGAUAUAUCAUCUUCUUACAAGGGAAGGCAGAAAACAAGUAGGAACAGUAAUACAAUCUACCCUUUCACUAUAUGCUCACUCUCUCACAUAUCUUGUACAAAGUAGAUGCUCAAUAAAUGAUUUGAACUAAUAUGUGAAUGACUUAAGGUUGACCAUGACCUCACAAAUGUAGAUUGAUUCAUCUUCUCUGGUGCAGAGUUUUAUCCCUUGGUAUGUUACUCAGUAACUUUCCCUUUUCUUCCAUAAAUGUCCUACUAAGAACGAAUCUCACAAGCAUAAUGUUAAGCAAAGGAAGCCACAUGCAAAAAAGUACUUACUAACAGAGGAGUGGAUAAAGAAAUUGUGAUGUGUCCAAACAACAGAAUGCUAAAGAGCGAUAAAAAAAAAAAAAAACUACUGAUACACAAAAUAGCAUGGGUACAUCUCAAAAUAAUUAUAGGGAGUGAAAGACCAAAAAAAGAGUACAUUCCUUAUGAUUCCACUUCCAUCAAAUUCUAGAAAAUGCAAACUGAUUUAUGGUGACAGAAGCAGAUCAGUGGUGGCCUGGGGAGAGUAGAGGAGGGGCAGGGAGAGGGUAGAUAAGGAAACUUUGGGAGUGAUGGAUAUGUUCAUUAUCUUGAUUGUGGUGAUGGUUUCAUGGGUGUAUUCAUAUGUCAAAACUCAUCAAAUUGUAUCCUCUAAAUAUAUGGAAUGUAUUGUAC
rnacentral:lncRNA from 10 species